CCGGAAGGAAGGAGCCCUAGCCAGAGAGAGUCCAUUAAGACUUCUUUUCUUCACCCAUGACCUUAUACAUACCAACUAACCUUUGGCUGUAUAGACAGGAAAGCCUAAGGCCCAAUGACAAACGAGCAUCCUGAAGUCACCUUUACGCCUCACACUACUCUCCUGAUCGAGCAAACCCCUGGAUUAGAGUUGCCUGGUUUUGAACUUCAGACGAAGUGGAUUCUGCUGCACCUCUGAAGAGGUAGAUAGACUGUUUCCUCUUUCCAGCCCCUGCCUCUCAGGCCUCAGUCCUACCCGGGGAUCAAACGCCUUCCGGAAGAGCCUCCCCAGCUGCUGUGCGUAGCUCUGGGCCCGGCCAGUCUCAGAGCCAUACAGGAUAGUCGCCUUUACGCGCUUCGCCAUCACAGUGCCCAUGAGCGAGGCAGAGAUCUUCACUGCACUGCAGGCAAGGUGACGAGGUUGUCCGGGUGUCUAGAUCCAUGCAGACAGCUACAUCCUGGGACAAGUUGAACAGGGUCGGGACAGAAGCAGCAGGAGUGGACAGGAGGAGAGGGCAACAGAAAGCAAAGCAGCACACCACCUCAGUGAUCUCCACGUUGGCAGGGUCGCCUCGCACCGAGCCAUCCUGCUGCCUGUAGCCUGCGUAGCGCACCAGCUGGCUGUUCCAGAUCCGGAAGUCUCCCCUGCCAGGGCAGCGCUGAGGGAACACUGUGAUGGCUGAACUGACGUGAGGAAUGAAGCUGGUAAGCGGCCAUCACUGCUGUUUGUUGAAGGCUUCCUAUGAGCUAGGGUCUGCCAAGCCAGAAGCACAGGAACGCCGUCUACCACAUCUAGGAGAGUGGAGCAUCAGAUGUCACGACUCCUGUAAGAAGAGGCAGUUUCUGUAUCCCAGGGAGCAAGGGAAUGGACCCUUGGGGCUAUUCCAUGCUGCUGAUGAGCUCCCUAGGGCAGGGCCUGUUGAAUUUCCUGUUCUCACCCAAUGAUCUGGGAUCUGGAACCACACCUGUCUACCGGCUUUCAGCCUCACGGGAGGCUUUUGGAAUCCUUCAUACUUGUUCUGGCAGGAACUACCAGCUUGAGGGCUCUUAGGUCUGUUUCACAGAGACAGUAAUUAUGCUCAGAAGGGCUCCCCCACCAUGGCCCAAUCACUGCCCAAAGAACCCACUUCCUUUUUGGGGGACAGAGUUUAAUUCUGUAGCUACAGGUUAGCUGUAGCACAGGCUGGCCUUGGGCUUUUCUGCCUCAAUUUCCUGACUGCCAUGGUUACAGGUGUGUGCCACCAGUCCCAGCUCAGAUUCUACCGCUAAGAUUCCACAGUAGGAACCGGGAUCUCAAAACAGAAAUUUGGUUGUGGUGGUUGAGGAUAAAAGUGUGUGUGUGUGUGUGUGUGUGUGUGUGUGUGUGUGUGUGUGUGUGAGAGAGAGAGAGAGAGAGAGAGAGAGAGAGAUUAUGCAAGCACAUAUAUGUGCCUGUGACCACGUGACCAGUAUGUCCUGGGGCACUCACACUGACCAAUCUCAUCAUCUGGUUCUCGUGCUUCCGAAAUUUAUUUGGAACAAAAACAUGGCUGUGGAGGUGAAUGUGAAUGUGUUAACAUCCACAGGGACCUGAAAAUGCUCUUCAUUCUUGGUAUCUGGUGUGAGGAUGAGUGUUUAGGGUCAGGCUGAGAUCUCCUGAGUGGUGACGGUCAGGAUUUCUGUCUCAGGCCUUGGGGACCCUGCAUGGAACUCUAUCACUUAUCAGUGCAAGGCUCUGGGAUGAACCCAGACUUCAGACAGACAGCUGCCGGGGAUCUGUCCAACAAACAGCCUCGCACUUCCUCCCCUCCCCUCUCGGCUCCAGUCCCUCAGGCUGGCCCAGUUUCCUGGUGUGGUUGCUGUGGUGCUGGGUCCCUUGGGAACCAGGGUUUAAGCAUCAAGUAUGCCAAGCAUGGAAAUUCCGUAGCAACCAGCCCCGGAGAUCAGCUGGGAGCGUGUGCUUCCUUGGCCUCCUGGGUACUCCAGGGAGGGGCUGGACCCUCUCUCCACACAAGAAGGGAGGAGCAGCCCUUAGAGGCUCUGCAGAUGUGGAGACAGGGGCAUUGUGACACCUGAAGGAAUUUGGAUCACUGUGAAGUUGCUGUCUUUUAGUUUUUAGGGGAGAAGUCUGUUUUGGCACAUGGUUUUGGAGGUUCCAGCCCACUAUUAGUUGCCUUGUCGCUUUAUGAUAGUGACCAGCAGCAAGUCACAGAUAUGAUGGAGCAAAGCUGCUCAUUCAUGUGGCUGGGAAACAAAGCACUGUGGGCUUUUCUUUCUGUCCUUCCACGUAGACUCCCGGUUACCAGCCUAGGACCAACGAGUAAGGCAGCCCUGAUGAAUUUGCUGCUGAAAGGCUGAGGUCUUCUUGGGAUUCCCAUUUUGAGUUCUGGUUUCCUAAACCCUAGCUUAGGCUGCUUCAGGUAAUGCUGGUUCCUGUUCCCAGUGGAGUCUGAAAUAAAUGGGGUUGUGCCUCAUAGAUCCAGAAGGCGGAGUGCCCUGCCUGGGCCCUUUCUUUUUCAGGGUGGGAGGACUUAGUCCCCAUCUGUGAUGGGUUUCUACUGUCACCUUCCCAUACUCACUGGCUGUGUUCACCGGUGAUUUCCAAAAGGAAAGGGAUGGGGUCCUGACCCCAGCUCUCAGCCCCACCAGGUGGUUAUACCUUCCCUCCCCUACUCCCCUACAUGAAGCUGGAGCAUCCAUGGAAGGUAUCGAUUUUGGGGUUUUGAAAGCAGGACUAUGUAACUUCUCUUGUCAGAUGGUAUUUGUAUUUGGCUCCUACAAUAUUGUCUUCAUAUAGCAUCUUCUUAAUUGACUGCAACUCUUUGAGGUCAAGGGACAGACUUCAGACCUCGUGUUUCACUGGGUGACCUGCACAGUAUGGCACACCCAGAAAGCUAUGGGUGGGCCAGUGAGACGGCUCAGUCAGUGAAGGUGCUUGCUGCCAAGCCUGGUGACCUGAGCCUGAUCCCUGGGACCCACAUGCUAGUGCAAAGGACUCCUGCAGAUUGUUUUCUAACCUGUAUAUGUGGGCUGUCACAUGCAAGUCUACACACAUAAGUAAAUAAGUGAAUAUAACAGUAUUUGGGGAAGUGGUAGGUAACUGUGAGUAGGUCAGGGGAUGACAGGGUCAGAGGUUAUCAAAUUGGAUCUUAAAUCUCUUCUGUGGUCCCUAGCAUUUGCUACUUAGUGAUACAUGGAGAAGGCAAGGACCUCGAGCUAGGGGUGGGUUCCCAUUCUCACUCUCAUGAUCCUCACACCCCAAACUGACUCUGAUUUCUGCCUGAUUUCAGCCGCCUCUGACACGCCAUCUCUGUAGUUCAUAUUCUCAUUCCUGACCCCCACCUCCAUCUUUCCUUCAAUUCUGUGUUUUUCUAGCUCUUGAUGUAUGUGGUGUAUAAGCCACAAUCUGUCCUGUUAUAGUGGUUAAGUCACUUGAUUUAGGACCAGGAGACCCAGCUCCAUUUCUAACUUGUAUAAUCUCCAGGAAGUCUUCUCUACUUUGUGUCCCUGUCACCUAGAAUAAGAAAGUGUUUACUUCCUGCUUUGAUGUUUCCUAAAGUGUCAGCCCUCACCCCCAGUGGAAUCCAGAGAAUUUCUCGUAUAAAAUCCAGGGCAGAGUCACAGUGUUCUGUAGUGUUGGUUGAGGAGGGUGAGAGAGGUAGAAAGCUCUGGGUACACAUGAGACCCAGGUUUUCAGUGCCCACAGAAAACCAGGUCUCACUGUGUCAAAUGCUGCUAGGUGGAGCCACUGCAUAGUUCCAGGAUUUUUAUGGUUUGGGGAAGCUGCUCACUUCACAGUGUCCAGAAGAGGGCCCUCAUCCUGGUCACCUGGGCUGCCCCUCUGGUUUCCCGCAGAGCCUGUCAUGAAGGACUUUCAGCACCUUGGACAGAGGCAGAGUUCCCCUCCUGCUGAAGUUUUCAGCUGCAAAGAAGGCUUGGAAUCUUCUCUCCCGCAGUUUCCCUAGCAGGGCAGUUUGAACAUGGUGCAUUCUUUAAUAUUUUUCAGUCUUUUAAGGUCACUCCAGUAUAAACCCCAAGUCAAUGUCAGAGUAGCGCUUGUUUGCCAAACUCUGAGGACAGUAUUUAAAUAAUAACAAAAGCCAGGUGACUUGAUGCAGACCCAUCAUCCCAGCGCUUGGGAGGCUGUGGCAGGAGGCUAGCAAUUUCAAGGCUAGUGUGGACUACACAGUGAGACCCGACACAACAACCAGACCAAACCAAACCGAACCAAGCAACAAAUAUCUCAAAUUACCAAACCAAAGCAGACAACAAAAACCAACCUGUUUUCUAAAACAGUGUAAGGUAGGCAUUAGAUACUUUGUAAAUAUGAUGUUACAGGAAUGCAUUCAAACGCAGUCUACAGGCUCCCUCCCUCCAUCAUGAGAGCUCCCACCCACCCAUGGACCAGUCAGUCACCCUCAUGUGGUCAUUCUAGCUUAGUUCUAUAACUCACUGAGCUCCAGAGCCCUCUUGAAACCCCUUCUGUGGGUGGGAAACCCAGUCCCUAAUUCAAAGGGACAGAUGGCUGUCAGGUUCUCAGCCAGAAGAAUCACACUAGCAGUUCGCUUCCUCAUCUGGAACAAGGAUAAACUGGUGAGAAGACCCACACCUGAGUCCCGGUGACAUCUGGCUUUAUGAAGCUGUCAGCCAUCUUUCUAUGUGCCUGGGAGAAUCCUUACGAACUGGCAGGGCCCAGCUCUUCCAGGGAGCCCUCUCGGCUGCCCACCCGUCCAGAGCACCCCCUGCUUUGAGCUUCUUCUCCUAUUAUACCCAGAAGCACCAGAUUCCUUCAUGACAUCUCUGCCCCUGUUGAAUGAGGGGCCAUCUCCUAGGUUUACUUGUUACAGACCCCGCCGGGAUACUCCCCUAGCAAGCUGGGGGACUGGUGCAUUUCAGAGGCUUCUCACCUCUCCUACCAGGUGUCCUCCUCCACUUCCUUUCAAUCUGAAACAGUUCUAUAAACUGGCUCAUGGUGCUGUCUGUGGAGUAGCCAUUGGCUUCAGGGGUGCUCAGGACAAGAGAGUGGAGGCAAGAGGUGCAGUGGGGGGGGUUACCAAGAGAAGCGAAGGGCUGUUUGGAGUGGGGAUUGCAGGAUGGCUGUGGGUCUAGAGCCAUCCAGGGCUAUGGGUUGUGUGGAACUAAGGAAGCACUCAUGACCAGGGUUGGAAAGGGUCCCAGAGACCAGCUUGGCUAGUCUCAUUUUACAGGUAAGGAAAGUGAUAUUUAGUGAUGCUUCUAAAGGCACACAACAAAUGGGCACCUUGCCAUCACUUCUGACCUGUGCCAAGUCUCUCCCUUGGGCUAUUGAGUAGCUCCAUUUGGCAGCUUAUGUUUUUUCCAAGGUGGUCAUGCCAAUAUGUCUCAUUGCACAUGCCUUUCUUCCUACAUGGCAGCGGUAUGCUUUCCUGGAGAAUUGGGGUCUGUCCUCCUUCCCCCAAUUUGGUGGGCCAUGCUGAUGGCCGGAGUUGUUUGUGUGACUUUCAAAAUGUAGUCAUUACAGUUCAUUCAGCUCUGGCUGCUCCUUUCUUGAGAGAUUUGUCCCUGUAACCUUGCAGCUAUGCUGUGAAGAAUCCAGUUAGCCGUGUGGAAAGGCUUCAUGGGAUAUCUGACCUCAGCCUGACCUGAGGUCCUAAUGGCAGCCAGCUUCCAGCAUCAAACAUGGUCGCCUCUGGUCCCCAGUCUUAGGUGUGUGAAGCAGUCAUUAGGUCCUGGCUGAGCCUGUAGGUCCAUGAGCAAAACCAAUGCUAUCUUUGAUUUGGGGCUGACCAUUAGGCAGCAGCAGGUAGUGGAAUUUCCUUGUAUCUACCUUAGUUUCUCCAAGCUGUUAUACGUGCUUAUUACUUCAACACACCUCUAUUGGAUACAUAGAAUGUGCAUUUCAGCUGCUGCUUUAGUUCCUCUAGUGCAUACAGACUAAAGGGCAAUCCCCGAGCUCUGCAAAUGGUGCCAGCCCCCACAUAGUUUUGUCCCUAGACCUGGUCCCCAUGAUCCAAGUCUCUACAUCUUGGUUCAUGUCCCCUCCACCUGCAACACUUUUUCCUUGCUCACAUCAACCUUCAAGGACUUGCUCCAAAGCCUCUUCCCCUCCCCAGACCCUCCUCGUCUCCUCCAGGAGACAUGAACUGGCACCUCCCUGUAAUCCCACAGCACUCAUUACAGACUACAGUUUUGUCUGCCCACCGCCUCCCUCAGACACCACUAGACUGUGAAUCCCUGGAGGAGGGAGACUGGCUUAGUCCUCCUGUUCCCCAACCCCCCAGCAUCUGGCACAAGGCCUAGAACAUAGGAGGUCCCCAGGAAGCAUUUGUUGACAUGACUGGUAGCAGAAGUAGAAUCGGAAGCUAGGUGUCCUGAAUCCCAGUCUCCAGCACUUUGCUCACUUCCUAUGCCACCAAAUCAGGAACAUGUGCCUGCAAAGGUAAGUGUCGGGUGGGUAGGGAAAGACCUUGGAAUGGGCUGGGGCUUGGCAGAAUUGCUUCAUGUGGAACUGCAGGUGGCGGUGAGUCAGGGAGCCCUGGCUUCGGGUGUAGGGCUGAGGUGUGUCUCUCCUCUGUUGAUUCAGCCCCCCCUUUCCCCUCUCUCUCAGUAGGGCCUGAGCACCUGCUCCUGGGGGGAAGACACACUGCCCCUUGCCUGUCUUCUGCAACUCCAGUUCACAUCUGAAGAACAUUGCUAUUCCGAGAACCCAGCUGUACAGGAAAAGGUCCCGGUGCCCCCCAAAAGUCAAGUUUGCCCUUGAUACCAGGGGAUUGCUGUUGCUGCCCUCCCUCCCCUGGGGCUUCGGAAGAGUCCAUCCCUGUCAGCUGUCUCUCUUAUGUCUGCUCCACUGGAAAUGCUUGUCAGUCCCCUGUGAGUGUCACUGUCUCUCCUGGCCUGGUCCUUGGGGGACUGCCAGCAAGGGCAGCUUCCAUUUCUUUCUCCCUCAGGCUGAGCAGGAGCAGAGAGUGGGGUGGGUAGGAUGUUUUCUGCAGACUUUUCUCCCUAAAUUGUCUCUUUCUGGGAGCUGGGUGGAGCCUACAUGUGUCUCUCUAUAAAUACAGCCUCUCCCUUCCCUCAGCCACAGGCAGGGUGGGGGAGAGCUCUUCCCAUGAAUGACCCUUGGGGCCUGUUGUGGGGGUGGGGCAGAGUGUAGAUGCUCUGGGUAUUAGGUUUGUCUGCGUCUGGAAGUGGGAGGUUGGUGCAUGAUAGACCAGAGGGACUUCUGUAUGAAGUGGUCUCUUGAUGCCUGGCACCAGCAACUCCAGAAAUGAUGCCUUGAGGAAAGCAUGUCUAGCUCAGGGUUUCUCCAUCCUCAACUUUAUCCCUGACUGGGGGUGGCUCUGUGGCCUGCCUUCAGGCACCCCCUGAGCUUCCUAGGAAGUUAGAAAUCUGCCAUUGGCUUUGACAUACACCUUUCUCUGUAUGUUGCUUGGUGGUGGUGGUGGUGGUGUGUGGAGAGAGAGAGAGAGAGAGAGAGAGAGAGAGAGAGAGAGAGAGGAGAGAGAGAGGAGAGAUUUGGCUUCCUUUAGCCUGAGGAAGAAGCUCUCAUCCUCAGGAGAGCUUCUCUAUAUCUGAUCCUCUCUUAUUGGCAUGACAAAGGUCUCGGUGACUCUUAUGUUCUCCUCUGCGAUAAGACCCAAAGGCUUUCUCAGCAAGUGACUCCCUGUCCUAAGGAUGGCUGGCCAGGUCAGAUGAGGAGUUCCAUCCGUUCGGGGCCUGGCUCUCCUGGCCUUGGUCUGGACGGAAGGGGUUCUUCCCUCACGUCUUCCUCUCCAUGCCAUUUUCCAGCCUCUUCUCACUUUCAGUCCCCAGGACCCUCUGUUCACACAGGCCAGGUGUGUGUGUGUGUGUGUGUGUGUGUGUGUGUGUGUGAGAGAGAGAGAGAGAGAGAGAGAGAGAGAGAGAGAGAGAGAGAGAGAGAGAGAGAGAAGAGCCAGACCCAGAUGUGCUGAUGCCUCUGAUGGCCAUUACAUGUUGGGGAAGGCCCUGGGCAUCCUGGGUGUGAGUGAGGAAGCCACUGGAGGUGGGAAGGAAGGGUCUGAAGGAUGACUGUGCAGGCAGGAGCCUCUGGACUUUUUUAGCAUCAGCUGGUGGAGCCGCCUCCUUCUCUCCCACCGGCUGCCUCCCUGAGUCACUGCCCACCCACUAGCAAAUAAAAAAGAGUGUCAUCUUCUGGCCAGUGGCCCUGUGUGGCCUUAGUGUUUGCAGGUUUUCACUCCUGGACGGAAGGUGAGAGUUUUAUUCCUGGCUGGGGUGGUCUCCUGGCGACCUGUCUUUCCCCAGCUUCCCUCCUUCCAGCCGGUUUCCGUCUUCACCCUUUGUUCCUCCCUUCCCCCCUCCAUCCCAUGACAGUUCUCGCUGGUGACAAGACCCAGCCCCUUGCUCCAAGGACAGAGGCAGCUGCAAGCCCUCAGGAGCCCCCACAUGGCCCCAUCCAUCCAGACAGGCCUCUGAUCCGGCUUGCAGGCCGGGGAGGGGAUUCAAGGCCUCCUCAACUCCAGCUGCCGGCUCCUCCCCACAGCAGGCCUGCUCAGCUGUCAACACUCGCCUCUCGGCCUUGUCCUGCCCCAGGCGUUGCUUAGAUGCUCAAACCAGGGGCACCCCGGCCGCCCGAAGACCCCUCCUCAGGCCCCAGCAGGCGGUGGGCAGGCAGUGGGCAGGCGGCGGGCAGACACCCUGCCUACCCUUGAGCAUCCUCAGACCUCCUUGCCUAAAUAAGGGAGCUGCAGCUGGAGAGAGCCAGCUGGCAGGGGGAGGGGCCUGCGGAUAGGCCAGGGUUUUCCGAGGGGCUGGGCCGCCCCGGCCGCCUCAGGGCCCCAAGCCCUCCCAUUGGGCCUACGAUUAGGUUGGUUCCGCACUACAGAGGGCGGGCAGGCCUCUAGCACACGGGGAUCCCUUGGCUGGGACCUCACGCUCAGGAACCUUUCUUUGAUCUCUCAGCUAGGAGGCCACAACUCUUGUCAGUGUCCCUCGGUGUGCGUGCCACCCAUGAAAGAGAUUCGACUAACCCCUGAGAGGGCCUUGUCUGUUGUCUGUCUGCUGGAGAUUGGGGCGAUCGGGGAGGCUGUGCCUCUCCUCCGGCUCACCCACCCUUGUCUCAAAAUUCUACAGCUCCCACGCCCCCUGUUCUCCCCAUUCCCCGGGUCUCCCCUGGUCCUGGGGCUUCUCUUCUCAGAGCCUAGGCCUCACUCAGCCAAGUCACCCACAGCAGAUUCUGAGAGUAAGCUGUGUGUACUCCGCCUGCCCUAGGCGCAGGAGGGAAGCCGGGGAUAAAGGGUUGGCCCUGUCCCAUCAAAUCAGGUUUCUCGGCCCCGAGGCUGGGAGGGGGGCCAUAUCCCGGCGCCCCUCUCCCUGGCCACCUCCAAAACCGGCCGUCGCACCUGUCCUCACGGCUCCCCUACCUAAGGGUCCCUUCCCCCUCUCGGUGG